UUAGAUAAAUGUUUUGCUAAUGACUUUUGGAUCGACAUGUAUUUUGACUCUAGUAUAUUACUAACCCUCCUUGAUCAGAAAUAUGUCAUCCAGGUCAGGUGGAAACCUCGUAUGCCAGGUAGGUUUAAACCGAAUACUGAUGGGGAUGUGAAAGAAAGCCCCGGGACCAGGAGGUCUUGGAGGUGUUAUCAGAAACCAUAUAGGUGACUGGAUCAUUGGCUUUUAUCAGCAAAGAAGCCCAUGUCAACCCAAUCCUGGCAAGGUUCGUGCACUAAGACAAGGUUAUUAAUGGAGAAGCUGGGAGCAGCAAUGCCAACACACAUAUUUCGGGAGAAGAAUAAAGUGGCAGACAUGCUUAGCAAGGAAGGUCUCAAGUGCAGUACUUUCAGAGAUCCAACCUUUUUGAUAGUUCCUCCAAUGUUUGCAAAUAGCGCAGUAUGGACAGGCAUUUCAGGAACUAUGUAUUCAAGAAAAUAAUAUUUUUGUAACAAUUAUUUAAAGUGUAAAGUACAGAAAUUACAUACACUAGGGAACUAAUUACAUCCUAAUCAUAUACUGGAAGUUUCCCCAAUU